rnacentral:rRNA from 1 species
AUUGAACGCUGGCGGCAGGCCUAACACAUGCAAGUCGAGCGAGCGGCGGACGGGUGAGUAAUGUCUGGGAAACUGCCUGAUGGAGGGGGAUAACUACUGGAAACGGUAGCUAAUACCGCAUACCAUCAGAUGUGCCCAGAUGGGAUUAGCUAGUAGGUGGGGGAACCGCUCACCUAGGCGAAGAUCCCUAGCUGGUCGGAGAGGAUGACAAGCCACACUGUAACUGCGACACGGGCCAGACUCCUACGGUAGGCAGCAGUGGGGAAUAUUGCACAAGGGGCGCAAGCCUGAUGCAGCCAUGCCGCGUGUGUGAAGAAGGCCUUCGGGUUGUAAAGCACUUUCAGCGGGGAGGCGUUACCCGCAGAAGAAGCACCGGCUAACUCCGUGCCAGCAGCCGCGGUAAUAC